UGCGUAGGGCGCAAGCGUUGUCCGGAAUUAUUGGGCGUAAAGAGCUCGUAGGCGGUUUGUCGCGUCUGCCGUGAAAUCCCGAGGCUCAACCUCGGGUCUGCAGUCGAUACGAGCAAACUAGAGUGUUGCAGGGGAGACUGGAAUUCCUGGUGUAGCGGUGAAAUGCGCAGAUAUCAGGAGGAACACCGGUGGCGAAGGCGGAUCUCUGGGCCAUUACUGACGCUGAGGAGCGAAAGCGUGGGGAGCGAACAGG
rnacentral:rRNA from 1 species